UCAUUUGUCUUUGUCAAUUAUUUCUGUUGCAGAGAUAAAACACCCUGACCACAGUCACUUAAGGGAGCAAGGACUUAUUCUGUCUUGCACUUCAAGGGUGUGGUUCAUCAUGGCAGGGAGGGAGCAGUAGACAUUGGGCCAUGUGACCCCCCCAGUCAAGAAUCGGGGAGAGAGAGAGAUGAAACCCACCUCAGGUCCCCGUAGUCCAUGGGCUGGUGCUGCCCAUAUUUAAGAUAGGCCAUCCCAUCUCACUGAAGUCAGUCUGGAAACUGCACCGGACAUGCCCAGAGAUGGUCUCCAAGGUGACUCUAGAUCUGUUUGGGUUGAUAAUCAGUAUUAACUUGCUGUUGUUGGCACAUGUGUGGAAUCAGGAGACUGUCUCCUUUGGGAAUGGAAGGGGCACACUGACCACAGAGAUCUCCACCCCUCUCCCAACUUGCACAACUGCAGGAAUAAACUCAGAUAGUGGCUUCA
rnacentral:lncRNA from 1 species